CAGGCCUUGACAUCCUGCGAACUUUCUAGAGAUAGAUUGGUGCCUUCGGGAGCGCAGUGACAGGUGCUGCAUGGCUGUCGUCAGCUCGUGUCGUGAGAUGUUGGGUUAAGUCCCGUAACGAGCGCAACCCCUGUCCUUAGUUGCCAGCGAUUCGGUCGGGAACUCUAAGGAGACUGACGGUGACAAACCGUAGGAAGGUGGGGACGACAUCAAGUCAUCAUGGCCCUUACGGCCAGGGCUACACACGUGCUACAAUGGAACGCACAGAGGGCAGCAAAGCGGCGACGUGGAGCGAAUCCCACAAAACGUUUCGUAGUCCGGAUCGGAGUCUGCAACUCGACUCCGUGAAGUCGGAAUCGCUAGUAAUCGUGAAUCAGAAUGUCACGGUGAAUACGUUCCCGGGCCUUGUACACACCGCCCGUCACACCAUGGGAGUGGGUUGCUCCAGAAGUGGUUAGCCUAACCUUCGGGAGGGCGAUCACCACGGAGUGAUUCAUGACUGGGGUGAAGUCGUAACAAGGUAGCCGUAA
rnacentral:rRNA from 1 species